rnacentral:rRNA from 1 species
AACGAACGCUGGCGGCAGGCUUAACACAUGCAAGUCGAACGCACCUUUCGUGGUGAGUGGCAGACGGGUGAGUACCGCGUGGGAAUCUACCCUUCUCUACGGGAUAGCUCCGGGAAACUGGAAUUAAUACCGUAUACGUCCUGAGGGAGAAAGAUUUAUCGGGGAAGGAUGAGCCCGCGUUGGAUUAGCUAGUUGGUGGGGUAAAGGCCUACCAAGGCGACGAUCCAUAGCUGGUCUAAGAGGAUGAUCAGCCACAUUGGGACUGAGACACGGCCCAGACUCCUACGGGAGGGAGCAGUGGGGAAUAUUGGACAAUGGGCGCAAGCCUGAUCCAGCCAUGCCGCGUGAGUGAUGAAGGCCCUAGGGUUGUAAAGCUCUUUCAGUGGGGACGAUAAUGACGGUACCCACAGAAGAAGCCCCGGCUAACUUCGUA